AUGGUUUCUUCACACCUGGAAGGGCUCGGGACAAAGAAGAAUUCCUUCACAUGCAGGACAACAAGCUCCAAUUCAGCAGAUGAAGUUCUGAAGCUUCUCAAGAUAAAAACAGGGCCGGGGAUACACAGCUCAGUGGCACAAGCUCCUGCCUGGCAAACACAAGAUCCUGAGUUUGGUUUCCAGAACCAAAAAAAAAAAGACAGGAACUGUUACCUCAAGUUACACUGAGCAGUCUUGCAUAUUUAAGAUUUAAAAUGCAUAGAACUUUUAGACACAUUUAAUGGAAUCACCCUUCUGAUGUGAGAUAAAUGUGAUUCUUUU
rnacentral:lncRNA from 1 species